AAGAGUUAGUCCAACAAAGACCAUUAGUUUCGGCCUAAUAAAUUGUGAUGAAACUUCACAACUCUUU
rnacentral:tRNA from 1 species